AUUGUUUGCUCUGGUAGGUAUUUGUAUCGCAUUUCGGCGCAUUUCAAAUCGGUUAAUUUCCAAUGUAAUGCUUGUUGAAAUACUUCAUGGUAGGUACAUAUUUUCAUGCAUGAGAUGCAAUGUGUAGGCAUUUAAUCGAAAAUCUAACCUUUGAUGACGUAUAUUUAAGAGUAAACGAACAACAAGAUAAAAUAGGUAUAUACAUAUUUCUGUGGUUUGCAUAGCCUAUUAACAAAUCAAAGCAUAAACAUCUCACAGCUUUAGCGUUUGUUGAAUCUGUUACGAAACGUGUAGUGUAAACGAACGAAAACUCUUCAGAGAUAAGCGCAACGCAAAAACUGGUCACCGUAAUCACGUAUUACCGCGAUUGUUCCGAACAGUAAUUGGUUUUAAAGCAGACCUACCAGAACGGUUUUAGAAACGAGCUAUCGCUUGAACAGCGGAAUAGAAAGGCAUGACUUUCAUUCGACCUCUAUAAAUCGUGAGACUGACUGGUUUACCACAACGGAUAUCGGAUCGGUUCUACGGGUAGCUGACUCGUACCACUACAACUUGGAUGAUCUCGAAUAGACAUCUACAUAUGUAUCCAUGUACCAAAUAGAGUUAAGAGAUGCAUUCCACAUAUGGUCGCAAUUAGUGCGAUUGGAGGCGUUUCGAAUGGUCUCCAGACUAGGUACCCGGAAAGCUCGCAAGACACGAACAUAUUUGCAAUCUUCGUAUUGCAUCUAGAGAGAAUAGUCUUCACGAUGUCGAACACGCUAUUUUUAAAUUGCUAAAAGACCUGGUUAGUCAUCAGAAGGUAGGUACCCACAGCAUGAAUGAGUAGAUUCAUGUAAAUAAUGCCAGAUUGCAAAAUAUUUCAAUAGGUGGGUAGGAAGGUAUACUGGAUUCUACUUAAAUUACGCCUUGUUGGUAUGUUCAACCCUACAUCAAUCAUAUAUAUAAAACAUUACAAGAAAUUCCCGAAAUAAUAUUGAGUUCACAUAUUUAUAAAAUGAUACAGGUUUUUACCUGCCUCACGGGUAAACACCAAAGAGCCGGUUUCGAGACUUCUGUCUGUUCAGUUGGGUGUGCCUUGCAUUAACUAGGUAUCAGCAACUUGUGGUUUGAUUGGCUUUGUAUGCAGCAGCAUAUCCAUCUCUGACUGAAAAUCAGUCAAUUAACUUUUUCCACACAUCUGUUGUCGUGACCUAUUUCCUUCUACCUAGCUUGAAAUCGGUAAACUACAUUUUUACUACAAAUUUAUUAAACGGAAAAAAUCCAUGGCGAAUUAUACAAUGCGUAUAAAAAUAUUAAAAUA
rnacentral:lncRNA from 1 species